rnacentral:rRNA from 1 species
GACGAACGCUGGCGGCGUGCCUAAUACAUGCAAGUCGAGCGAAGUUUUUCUGGUGCUUGCACUAGAAAAACUUAGCGGCGAACGGGUGAGUAACACGUAAAGAACCUGCCUCAUAGACUGGGACAACUAUUGGAAACGAUAGCUAAUACCGGAUAACAGUAUUUCUCGCAUGAGAGAUAUUUAAAAGUUGGUUAUGCUAACACUAUGAGAUGGCUUUGCGGUGCAUUAGCUAGUUGGUGGGGUAAAGGCCCACCAAGGCGACGAUGCAUAGCCGACCUGAGAGGGUGAUCGGCCACCCUGGGACUGAGACACGGCCCAGACUCCUACGGGAGGCAGCAGUAGGGAAUCUUCCGCAAUGGGCGAAAGCCUGACGGAGCAACGCCGCGUGAGUGAAGAAGGAUUUCGGUUCGUAAAGCUCUGUUGUUAGGGAAGAAUGGAUAUGUAGUAACUAUACAUGUAAGAGACGGUACCUAACCAGAAAGCCACGGCUAACUACGUG